CCACCUUGGCCUCCCAAAGUGCUGGGAUUAUAGGUGUGAGCCACCGUGCCCGGCCUACUGAGCUUUUCUUACACAGUCAUCAGUUUUCUUACUUAGUCAUCAGUUUAGAUCAGCAAGGACAAGUAAGACUUUAAAGUAAUCAUCUAGUUAAGGUCACAUUAAUUAUGAUCAGAGGUAGAGUAAGAAAAGGUCAAACGGCAUAAAGUAUCCAAGGGGUCAAAAUACCUCUUUAAGGUUGGCAAGGGAGGAAAAAUUGGGUCUUAGAUUUCAACAGGCACAACGGGAACAGUGUGUGUCCAGGAAUGGAAAGGAAAUAUCAUGAGCAAUGCCAUGAGAGUAGGAAAGCACAGGGCGGGUGAAAGGAACAGUAGAUUAUCUGGCUUGGUUUAACCGGAUUUUUCAGUAUGGUGGUUUGUUUGUUUCUAAUGCACCCAGGGAAUAAUGAGUGCCUAUGGAGCACAUGCUUUGGGUAACCAUUUAUCUAGGUAACCAGUGUUACUCUCUUGGCUGGAAGUGGAGGGGUGUUCUCUUCAUUUGAAACUGGCUCAGGUCUGGUAAGGCCUCUAUAUUGUUCAUGUCUAAGAACCCUUAACAUUAGCAAUGUAAUUUAGACUGCUGGGUGAUUUUUUUCCGGGAGGGGGAUUGGAUUGGAAGUAAAAAAGAGCCAACCUAUGGUGGCACACAGCUUCCAGCAGAAAGGAAAAAUAAUAUACUAGUAGGAAACCAUUUUUGGGCCACCUUGCCCAACAGGAAACUAUAUUUGAAACCUGCCAAACACCUGAUUAUUUGAUAGUAUCUUUGUAUUUAAAUACUACCUUUUUGUGUGUGAUCUCAGGCAGCAUGGGGGUUAAUAGCAUCUUAUCACUUGAAACUUUGAAAGAUAAUUAUAUAUUCUGAUUAUACAUGCUUUGCUUGUUUUAUAAUAUUGAGCUAUCUAUUUGAUUAAGGCCAUUUAACAGCAAUUAGAAUAACCUGCCAACUAAAGAAGAACUUUUUAUUUCACAAUUUAACGAGUGCUAGUUACUUAAUUCCAAGUUGGGAUUAUUUAUAUCAUACAUAUUACAUGUCUUAUGUGUAUAUACAUAUUUAGCAUUAAUGAUAAAAUGCCUGGUAGAUGAGAAUGAGUGUUUUUCUCCCCGUUUAUAGUUGUUUUUAAAUAAUGAAUGAAACCAGUGAGUUACAAGGAAAAUUUUGCUAAAAGCAUAUGCAUAGUUUUGUCUAUGGAGACUCAUAGCUUUUAAAGCUUCAGAGGGACUCUAGGAGAUUUGCUUUAAUCUUUGGGGUUUAGAUACAGGAAUAGCUAUGCAGGAGUCAUGAUCAAGUAAGUUGCGAAGUUGGGCUUCAAGCCCAAACAUGUUUCAUCUAGUUCAGUGCUCUUUCCACUAUGCAGUACUACCUCUCUGGUUUCCAAUGGUUGGAAACUUCUUAAGAUAAUCAUAUUUCAUAUAGGUAGGCCCUCACAGAAGUAAUUAGGUAUUGGAGUAAUUAAAUUUUAGAUACUGGCCCAGACGCUUCUGUAGGUCCAGAGUUACCCCGAGCUGUUUUCAACUCCCUGGGCCUAGUGCUGUUUUGACCAGCAGCAUAUUUUCAGAAACCACUCAGAUAAGCAGGAUUCUCCCCAGCAGCUUCUGAUGAUGUGAGCUUAUAGUGCCAACAGCAUUCAUCUAAAGAUACUGAUAACUCUUUGUUGUUUUUUGAAAUCAAUCAAUCACUGUGUGUGUGUUUUGGGGGCUGGAAGCACUGGGAAUUUUGGAUCUCUGUGAGGAUGCCAAAACAUCUGUUCCCUUUAUGUUUGUUAGGAUGUGAUUAGAGUGCUAAAUCAAAACGUGGAACAAGAACAAAAUAAUUCAUUACAACCAUCCCUAAGAUUUUUCAUUUUGACGCUCUAAUAUAAAAAGCAUUACUUUGAAAUUUUUGUAGGGAUUUAGUUAUAGAGAUUUCUUAUGAGUAUUAAAGUAAAUUAUAGAAUAAAAAGCAAAAGACUAGCAGCUUUUCCCCCUGUAUUUACUGCUUUACUUUGCAUUUAAAUAACUUUCAGAAGACAACAUUCUCUUAUUGUGUGCCUCAGACUUAUAAAGGCUGCUUAUAUUAAUUUCUGGAUUUAUACUGUUCUUUGAAAAUGGCCUCAACUUAUAUUUUAUAAUCAAGACUCAGAUGUUGCUGGUUUUGAUAAGCUAGUUUCAUCAUUUUUAUUUUAACCAGGUGGGUUGGUUGAGAUGGUUAAUAGUAGAAAUGGAAGGUGCCAAGUGUUACUGUGAACUGACAGUGGUAAGAGAUGGGAAAUCAGAUUUGUGGAUUUUGUGAAAGUGUUAAUCAAAAUUGGAUUAAGGAGUGAAUUGUGGUGUUUGAAUGUGAAGCAUAGUGGAAAUGCUGUGAGCUUCUUGCAUAGAACAUCCAGUUUGUUCAUAUUCUCCAAAUCCUUCCUCCUAGGAUAUUUGUUGACCUUUUAUGAUCACCACAUGUAUUAGACAUGUAUGUUGUCUCUGUUAUAGAGUUUAUGGAUUUUUUUAAAAUUAGGAUGCUUAAAAUUUCCUUUUUUUUUCUGUGUAUUUCUUGGGAUAUUUUCCAAAGGUUAUAUGCCUAUUUUAUCUUUUCCCCUCACUUUAUAAUCUUUGCUAAAUAAAUUGAUGCUACUAGCUUUCAGUUGUAGUGUAGCAGUGGAAAAUAGCUUUAGAACACAGAGAAAUAUUUGGUAAUUAAAUUGCGAUUUCUUAUCUAUUCUUAAAAAAAUUUCAAGACGUGUUAUUUAGCUCUUGGGGUGUCUUACUAUGUGAAUAUUUUGUAAAUUGAUUCAAUCAAGACUUUCACUGCUAUUUUCCAUAUGUGAUGUGAACAUAGAACUGCGUUAUAGUAUGGUGCUCCUCUGCUAUGAUAUUCCUAGUAUUAUGCCAGAUGAGUCUCCCCUUAGCCUGAACUGAGUUUCAAUGUAGGUAUUUAGUAAUCAAUGAAUGACUUCAACCAGUGAUGAAACAGGAAGAUACAGGUAUCUCUAACAUAUUUAUGAAAGGCGAAACUGAGAACCGGAGUAGUUUAUUAUCUAAGGCAUGUGACUGGUAAGUUGUGGAACUAGUGCCAGCUGGAAUCCAGGGAUUCCAAUUCUUAAUUUAGGUCUCUUUCCAUUAUGCCCUGCAGAUGUGAAGAAUUGAUGUUUGGGUGGAACACUCAGGUUCCUUUUCUUAGCCUGCCUUUUAUUUUUUGAUUACUUGUGUAAUUAUUUGCUUAUUCUCUGGCUUCAUUGAAUCUCUUUGGUUAUGAUUCAUUUAUGUCUUUGUAAUAAAAUUCUCUAUUUGAAAUUUGGAGGUGAUUUUUAUAAAGUAGAAAAUACUGGGCGGCAGUCUUGAUUCUCUUUUGGCCAGCAGUUUUUAGGUCCGUCAGUACUGCACUGCAAGAAUGGCAGAUUUUGGGAUCUCUGCUGGCCAGUUUGUGGCAGUGGUCUGGGAUAAGUCAUCCCCAGUGGAGGCUCUGAAAGGUCUGGUGGAUAAGCUUCAAGUGUUAACUGGCAAUGAGGGCCGCAGGUCUGUGGAAAACAUCAACCAGCUGUUGCAGUCUGCCCACAAAGAAUCCAACUUUGACAUUAUUUUGUCGGGUUUAGUCCUGGGAAGCACCACUCUGCACAGUGCUGAGAUUUUGACUGAAAUCGCCCGGAUCCUUUGGCCUGGUGAAUAUCUUUUUCUGAAAGAGCCAGUAAGAGACAGCUGUAGAUAACAAUAGCAAAGUGAAGACAGCAUCUAAGCUGUGUUCAGCCCUGACUCUUUCUGGUCUUAUGGAAGUGAAAGAGCUGCAGUGGGAGCCCUAACCCCUGAGGAAGUACUGUCUGUUUGAGAAUAUCUUGGUCAUGAAAGUGACCACCUGCUGUUUGUUCAGAUCACAGGCAAAAAAUCAAACUUUGAAGUGGGUUCUUCUAGUCAGCUUAAGCUUUCCAUCACCAAGAAGUCUUCUCCUUCAGUGAAGCCUGCUGUGGACCCUGUUGCUGCCAAGCUGUGGACCCUCUCAGCCAACGAUAUGGAGGAUGACAGCAUGGAUCUCAUUGACUCAGAUGAGCUGCUGGAUCCAAAAGAUUUGAAGAAGCCAGAUCUGGCUUCCCUGUGGGCUGCUUCUUGUGGAGAAGGGAAAAAGAGGAAGGCCUGCAAGAACAGCACCUGGGGCCUUGCUGAAGAACUGGAAAAAGAGAAGUCGAGGGAACAGAUAAGCUCCCAACCCAAGUCGGCUUGUUGAAACUGCUAUCUAGGCGAUGCCUUCCGCUGUGCCAGCUGCCCCCACCUUGGGAUGCCAGGCUUCAAACCUGGGGAAAAGAUGCUUCUGAGUGAUAGCAAUCUUCACGAUGCCAAGGAGGGACCUGACAUGGGACCCAUCUGUUCCUCCAGCCAACUCCUGUCCCUCACAUCCCACCACGGUGGCUCCUCCCACCUCCUCUAGAUUUGUUCACUCUGAGAUCCAUUUGCAGGGUGGGUGCUUAGCAGACAGAGUGAAGCUGGCUGGGGGAGCGCAGUGGUGUGUAGUGCUGCUGUGUGUCAAAAGACCAAGGUAUUAUGGGGCCCAGUUACUCAGAAUGGGAUGGGUUUCUUCACCUCAUGUUAAGAGAAGGAAGUGUGUUCUGAAGAAGCCAUUCUUCUGAUUUAAAAUACUGACCAGAACACUCUUGAGCCCAGGCAUCCUUGAGCAUUAACACUCUGUGACAGAGCUCCAGACCCCUGCCCCGAGUCUCAUCUCAGCAAUGCUGCCACCUGCUUGUCUUUCAGAGUUGUUAGUUUAUUCCAUUCUUUGUGACACACGCCAAGUGUCUCACCACCUCCUCAGGGCACCAGAGAACUCACUCACGGGUUGCUGUGAUGAUAUCCAGUGUCCCUCUGCCCCCUUCCAUCCCCAACCACAUUUUACUGUAGCAUUGCAUCUGUGUCCUGUUGUCAUUUCUGUUCACCUUCAGGUAUUAAACUUGCUGCAUAUCUUGAAAAAAAUAAA